GCAUUGGUGGUUCAGUGGUAGAUUCUCACCUUUGAUGAGGGAGAACUGGGUUCGAUUCCCAGCCAAUGCA
rnacentral:tRNA from 1 species